rnacentral:misc_RNA from 1 species
AACGCACGAGACCUGCGGACCUGCGGAGGGAUCAUUUGCGAAAGAGAGAGACAGCUUUGCUGUCUCUCGAUGCCAUCCCAAUGCCGUGACACAAAAGAGACGUGCGACAGCACGUCUCUUUUGGAGCCCGUAUUCGGCUGGCCCGGCCGCAGAGUGUCCUUUGGGGCAGCUUUCCCCGAGGCGCAGGGCAGUGACACACCAGUGAUACCUAGUCAUGUUUGCACACGGUUUAUACACAAC